GCCCUUGUAGUAUAAGCAAAUACACCAGUCUUGUAAACUGGAAAUGGACCCCCUCCCCAGGGCA
rnacentral:tRNA from 1 species